rnacentral:rRNA from 1 species
GACUAUCUGCCAAGGGCAUGCCUGCCUGGGCGUCACG